rnacentral:rRNA from 1 species
GACGAGCGCUGGCGGCGUGCUUAACACAUGCAAGUCGAGCGGUAAGGCCCUUUCGGGGGUACACGAGCGGCGAACGGGUGAGUAACACGUGGGUGACCUGCCCUCAGCUCUGGGAUAAGCCUGGGAAACCGGGUCUAAUACCGGAUAUGACUCCAUGACGCAUGUUGUGGGGUGGAAAGCCUUGUGCGGCUGAGGAUGGGCCCGCGGCCUAUCAGCUUGUUGGUGGGGNGAUGGCCUACCAAGGCGACGACGGGUAGCCGGCCUGAGAGGGCGACCGGCCACACUGGGACUGAGACACGGCCCAGACUCCUACGGGAGGCAGCAGUGGGGAAUCUUGGGCAAGUGGGCGAAAGCCUGACCCAGCGACGCCGCGUGAGGGAUGAAGGCCU